UGUGCAUAACUAUGUUGUGCAAGGCAAGGAACGACUUAGUUAUGGAUUUAAUGGGUUACGUUUAUCUUCUAAUUCUUCUUCAUCAUUUGCAGAGCAUCAUUCAUCUUAUAUUUCGAAACGAAAAGCACGUACUUCUAGCGUUUACAAUGA
rnacentral:ribozyme from 1 species